rnacentral:tRNA from 1 species
GUCUUCGUGGUGAAGUGGUCAGCGCGCUCGGCUCGUAUUCGAGAGGUCCGUGGUUCAAGUCCCGGCGAGGGCA